ACUCAAAUGAAUAGACGGGGGCCCGCACAAGCGGCGGAGCAUGCGGAUUAAUUCGAUGCAACGCGAAGAACCUUACCUGGGUUUGACAUAUGCCGGAAAGCUCUAGAGAUAGAGCCCCUUUUAGUCGGUAUACAGGUGGUGCAUGGCUGUCGUCAGCUCGUGUCGUGAGAUGUUGGGUUAAGUCCCGCAACGAGCGCAACCCUCGUUCUAUGUUGCCAGCAUGCCUUUUAGGUGAUGGGGACUCAUAGGAGACUGCCGGGGUCAACUCGGAGGAAGGUGGGGAUGACGUCAAGUCAUCAUGCCCCUUAUGUCCAGGGCUUCACGCAUGCUACAAUGGCCGGUACAAAGGGCUGCGAUGCUGUAAGGCGGAGCGAAUCCCAAAAAGCCGGUCUCAGUUCGGAUUGGGGUCUGCAACUCGACCCCAUGAAGUCGGAGUCGCUAGUAAUCGCAGAUCAGCAACGCUGCGGUGAAUACGUUCCCGGGCCUUGUACACACCGCCCGU
rnacentral:rRNA from 1 species